rnacentral:lncRNA from 1 species
AAAUUCAACCAACCCAAGUUUUAUAACUUUGAUUUACAACUUUUAAAAAUAAUUUAACCCAGAAUUUUCCCUUAUGCUCUGUUUGGUAGCUAUGAAAGAAAGAGGAAAGAGAAAAUACAAAAAAACAAGAAUUGUUUUUCUUCUCUUUUCUUUCAUUUUUUACGCUAUCAAGUAUGAAUGGCAAUGGGGCGGGCCAAGCCGGAUUUUACACAUCCCGUCCCCAAUCCCCCAAUAAUUAAUAUGCAUCCUUGUCUUGCUCUUAUUCCCGUCGGAUUUAGUUUCGGUCUACUAUACGUGGAUUAAAAUGGGGAUCUGAUUUUUCAGGAAUUUCUCUGCUCACUUUCCCUUCCCUUUUCCACUAGUUCCAAAUACGUAAAAAAAAAAAUGCUUGCAAAGGAUGCGAGGCAGGGAGAUUAUUACCGUCUUAUAUAAAAUGCAGGGUCGGAGGAUGCGUGGUGGACACAUUAUGACCGCCGCCCUAUAUAAAAUGCACGGUCGGAGGAUGCAAGACGGGGAGAUUAUUACCGUCCUGCUCCGAAACUAGUUGGAAUAUAAUUUUUUUUAACCAAAACCCGCUCUUCUCGGGAAAAAAAGUAAAGAAAAAAAAGAAAACCCGCUCUUCUCGGGAGGAUGUUGGGUAAUUUGCCAUGACUACUACCAAGCACAAUGACGA